UAUUAUUAUUAUUAUUAUUUGUGCUUCAUCUUUACUUACUUUUCUUUCUCUCUUAAUAAGUCUCUUUAAAACUUUCUCUUUCUCUUCCUCAAGUGGGAAAAAGAUGAAUUACAUGAUAUAUUCAUACACAUACAGUGAAUGUAUGUUUGCAGGAUGUGGGCCUGGUUUGGCCUUGAAAAGGCACACGAAAACCAGUUGAGAUGAAGACACUGAAAGCCAAAGUUGUAACGGUGAAUAAACUUUCGAAGCAUAAAGAAGACAGUAAAUACAUUGAGCCUUGUUUUUUUGGCUGAUAUCAACACAGACAGAAACAGAAAGGCUUUCCUUUUUUUCUUCCAUUUCAUCUAUGAUUGCCAUUUCUCGUCAUCAUCACCGAGCUAUUGAACACUAACAAUAUCUCAAAGAUAACUGGUUGAGUAAGAAACAAUUGCAAGGUAUGGCUUAACAAAAAGGAGGAGAUGAAGGAGAAUAAAGAAAUGAAAAUUUGAGACCAAGCUGAUGUUGAUGAUGAUGAUGAUAAGAGAAGGUAGACAAGGAAAGAAAGGAAAAAUUAUAAAUUGUGAGUGAAUGAGAAGAGCUUGUUUUAGGUCUUGGAACAUGAUGAUAGACAAAAUAUUGACCUUGAAAGUUGUAUAACCCUGAAUGCUGUUGUCUGCUUUAUCCAAGCUGAUGUACUUUCUUUUAUAACCGCGCCAUUUCAUCAACAUCUUUCUUUUUUCUUCAUUAUCAUCAUCAUCAUCAUCAUUAUUAUUACCAUCACCAUCAUCAUCUUCAUCAUCAUUAUUUCCAUCAUUUUUAUCUUCUCCUCUUUUUACCUUUCUUGUUUUAACACAGAGAAGAUGAGAAAAAAAAGUUGAAACUAAUAUUGGAUCAACAUUUGUUGACCUACUUUUUCAACAUUGUUAGAGUAUAAACAAGUGAAUUAUGAUUUCAUAUUUUUCCUCACUUACUCAGUUCAACUAAACGAUUAGAAGAGGAAAAAAAAUUAGGCAACAAGUUGUCAUGUGAACAGGAUGAGAGUAAAAGCGUAGAGGCAUUGCAUCAAUGGCUAUCAUCAUAAUCAUCAUCAUCAUUCUGGCGGGAAAUGUCUUCGUUCGUUUCCAAGGUUAUCUUUUCAUAUCAUAUGAUUUACUUACUUUUUUAACCCAAAAAAAAGUUUAACUUGAUUGUUUCUUUGAGUUGCACUUUUUUUUACUGCUGCUGUUACUAUUUCUUGAUAACUAACAAACUUCAAUAGUUGCUUUAAUUAUAAUUGCUUCACUGGUAAACCAUUUACCCCUAAAAUUGUACAACGUCAACAAAAUGUUGAUCAACAUCAACACUACCACCAAUAAUCAUACAACGGCAACAAUUAUAAGCAAGAAGAAGAUUGGAUUCUUAAUUGUAUGAAAUCACUGGAUGCACGCAAAUGAUUGUCAAGAGUUUUCGGUGUUUCUCAGGCUUUCACAAUCUUAAUUCUCAACCUGAAUAGACAUUGUGUCAGCAGAAAAUUUAAAUCAACGAUAAACUUCACUUUCAAGCAAAGAACAAGAUUAGAUAAGGAACAGAAUUACGGCCAAGGAAAGAGAAAACGAAAAGUCUAGUCAACAUCAUUAUCUCAAUUAUGAACUUAAUCUUCUUAUUCCAUUCUUAUUUUUAAUUCACCAUCACCAUCACCAACAUAAUCAUCAUCAUCAUCAUCAUUUUCUCCUUCCUUGUUAAUAUCAAUAAUGAAAGCAACAAGUAUGAUAUUUUAAUUCUGUACACUUGACUUGUUUCUUAAUUAACAUUUCAAGUGAAACAAAACAAAUAUCUUCAUGUACAUUUGAUUGUUCAUCAAAUUUUGUUACACUAACUCAAUUGUAGGAGAAAAUUUUGAAUAAUUUAGGUUGAAGAGAAGAAAAAAAAGUUACGCUUUUA